rnacentral:piRNA from 1 species
UGCUUUGAGCCUGUACAGGCCCUUUAUGU